rnacentral:rRNA from 1 species
UACGUAGGGUGCAAGCGUUAAUCGGAAUUACUGGGCGUAAAACGUGCGCAGGCGGUGAUGUAAGACAGGUGUGAAAUCCCCGGGCUUAACCUGGGAACUGCAUUGUGACUGCAUCGCUGGAGUGCGGCAGAGGGGAUGGAAUUCCGCGUGUAGCAGUCGAAAUGGCGUAGAUAUGCGGAGGAACACCGAUGGCGAAGGCAAUCCCCUGGGCCUGCACUGACGCUCAUGCACGAAGCGUGGGAGCAACAGG